rnacentral:lncRNA from 1 species
AUUCAAACUGAGCCAGCAGCUAUUCCGUUGCAAAUAGAGUUUGAAGACACAUCCAGACAAGUGGAAGAGGUUCGGGAUGUUUCCAUUCCAGUGUCUCAAGCCGAAUUGCAAACAGAUUUGCAAAUGCACAAAGAAUCUACGACCAUGACCUUUACUUAUGAAAAUGUUAGCUCAGCCAUUCACCAUGAUAAGCUGCCUUACACAUCUGCUCAUGUACUUGAGGAAAUCAAUACCACAGACAUUGAAUCACAACAUGAUAAUGCAAGGGGUGGGACUGCCGCACCACUUCAGCACUCCUCUUUUGAUGUUAUGGCUUUUGAACAUUCAACACAAGCACAAUCCAGACCGAUUGAGAUAGCACAUACUACACGCCAGGAUGAUACUGACAUGAAUGUUGCACCUGCGCGUGCUGGUUCUAUUCGACACCAUGAAAUUCCAGUCACAAAAAAUGUACAAAAUGACUUGGAUUUAUGGGCUCGCAUUCGCGAGUAUGAUCAACGGAUGGCAACAGAAGGCUUCACGCAAGUGUUAUCCAAGAAGCAGCAACAAACAUUGAAAAAGCAAGUUCUGGGUAAAGCUUCGUAUAAAACCCGUGCAAAGGGUACUCCUCCUCCUCAAUGAGUGUCCUUUAUUGGAACAUCUGAGGUAUCGGUAAAUUUGUAUCUAAAAUUGCCUUGAGAAAUUUAUCUCUGUCUCAUAAACCAUUUUUUAUGGCGGAACCGAAGAUUUGUUUUGAAAGUGUUCCUUCUUGGUAUUGGAAUAGCAUUGGAUUUUCGAAAUAUUGCUUGAAUGUUAGAGCUGCCAAUUAUGGGCUCUUUGGGGCAAUGAGAUUUCCCCAACUAGUGCUGACAAGUUAGCGUUACGAGUUCAGUUUGGUUGGAUACGCUCCUGACGGAGUUACGCCUUGAUUUCUAUCGUGAUAGAGUUGGUUUGCCCAACUAUAAGCUACCUUAGUGUUUGCAGGUUGUUGUUUAUUUUUCUUUGUCUGUUUCUUUUCUUUUUCGGUUCUUUCUUUUGGAGGGUUUUGGCCUAGUCCCCCCUCUUUUGUAAUUAUUUUUCCCCUUUUUUUAAUAAAAUUUUAGAGUUUGGCGGCAUAGGAUGGAGGUUUCCCGGGGUGCCAAUCUAGUUGGAACGUCGGUGUUUCCUUUUGAUGUCUGUCCUUUCCCCUUGCUUAAAAAAGAAAAAAAAAUUGUGUUUUAUAUUCGUACAUAACUUUACAAUGGUAUAAUUAUUUUCCCGUUUACCCUCACGAAAGGUUAAAAAAAAAUACAAUUAUUUACAGGAAAAAGUAAACUAAAAUUUGUAAAAUUGUAUUCAAAUAUAUUGAUUAUUAUUUUUAUCACAUGAAGUCCUUUUAUGUGUUCCAAAUGAACAAAAAUAACACAUUGAUAUAUUUAAGAGAUAUUUACUAAUAAUUAUAAAAUUAUGAAGAGCUUUUAAAAAUUUAUAAUGCUUAAACUAUUUAAUUAUUUCUAUUACAAGGUGGAGUAUGUUUGUGAAUGCUAAAAAACUUCUUUAUAAUUCAUUUGGCCACUCAUAAGAGUAUAAGAAAAAAAAAAUUAUAACAUGUUUUUGUUCAUGUUUUGAGGCAAUGUUCCUUCUAUAAGUUGCUUUUUUAAUCUCUGCUUGAUCGUAUUAUGCGAGGCAUAGUUAACUUCAUUAGUAAUUAACAUAAAAUAUAUUCUACUUGUUCAAAAAUAUUUAAUUGUGCUUUAUAUUCGUACAUAACUUUACGAUGGUAUAAUUGUUUUCCCCUCUACCCUCACGAAAAGUUAAAAAAAAUACAAUUAUUUACAGGAAAAAGUAAACUAAAGUUUGUAAAAUUGUAUUCAAUUAUAUUGAUUAUUAUUUUUAUCACAUGAAAUCAUUUAAUGUUUUCAAAAUGAACAAAAAUAAAACAUUUAUAUAUUUAAGAGAUAUUUACUAAUAUUUAAAAAAUUGUGAAGAGCUUUUAAAAAUUUAUAAUGUUUAAACUAUUUAAUUAUUUCUACAACAAGGUGGAGUAUGUUUGUGAUUACUAAAAAACUUAUUUAUAGUUCAUUUGGCCAUUCAUAAGAUCAUAGGAAAAACUUUUUAUAAAAUCUUUUUGUUCAUGUGUUGAGGCAAUGUUCCUUCAAUAGAUUGCUUUUUAAUCUAUGCGUUGUCGUAUUAUGUGAGGAGUAGUUAACUUCAUUAGUAAUUAACAUAACAUAUGUCCUACUUGUUCAAAAAUAUUUAAUUGUGCUUUAUAUUCGUACAUAACUUUACGAUGGUAUAAUUGUUUUCCCCUUUACCCUCACGGAAGGUUAAAAAAAAUACAAUUAUUUACAGAAAAAAGUAAACUCAAGUUUGUAAAACUGUAUUAAAUUAUAUUGAUUAUUAUUUUUAUCACAUGAAAUCGUUUUAUGUGUGCCAAAUGAACAAAAAUAACACAUUGAUAUAUUUAAGAGAUAUUUACUAAUAAUUCUAAAAUUAUGA